ACCAGGCUGGCUCAGUGGGUAGAGCAUGCAACUCUUGAUCUCAGGGUUGUGGGUUCAAGCCCCAUGUUGGGUG
rnacentral:tRNA from 1 species